GGAUGCGGCCUCGGAUUUUGAGCGGCUUUUUACGCUUCUGCUGACGCCUCGGAGGCCAAAAGCCGUUUCUGUUUGGGUGAAUCCCCGGUGGGGGAUUAAGGGUGAGGGUUCGGAUCGAGAGCGGCGGCGAUGAGGGUGAAGAAGCAGAAGCGCCACCGCAAGGUGGUGCGGUUCUACUCGGCGUGCUUCGGGUUCCGGGAGCCCUACAAGGUGCUCUGCGACGGCACCUUCAUCCACCACCUCCUCCACCACCGCCUUACCCCGGCCGACGACGUCAUCUCCCACCUACUCGGCGCUCGCGCCCUCCUCUUCACCACCAGAUGCAUAAUUGGAGAGCUCAGAAGCCUUGGGGAGUCCCAUUCCGAGGCCCUUGAGGCCGCCCAGCAGCUCUUCACGGCGAGGUGCGACCAUGAGAAGAGGGUCGGUGCUACGGCGUGUGUUGAGUCGGUAAUCGGAGAGACGAACUCUGAGCAUUUCUUUGUCGCCACUCAAGAUGCAGAUAUGCGUAGAAAGUUUCGGGAGGUUCCUGGUGUUCCUGUGAUAUAUGGUCUUAGAAAUUCCUUGUUCAUCGAACAACCCUCUGCACAGCAGCGACAGUAUGCCAAGUCCACCGAGGAAAAGCGCUUGCAUAUGGGCGAAUCAGAAUAUCUGAAGCUGUAUAAGAGUGAUUUGAAGGGCGUAAUAACAAAUGAUUCUACUAACCGAUUAACAGAGGGCACACAGCUUACAAGAAAUAUUAUCACUACAAAAAGAAUGCUAGGUGUUGCAGAGAAAAGUAAAUUUAAGAGAAAGAGGGCAAAGGGACCAAAUCCACUCUCAUGUAAGAAGAAAAAGAAAGAUGAUACUUCAGCUCCCCAGAAUCAGGUGAAUUUGGUAAUAUAGGUGAUGCUAUUCAUGAGUGCUUUUCACUUUUGUCUUCUGUAUGCAGCUCUUCACCUGAGAUGGUGUGGAUUCUGGUGCUACAAAGAAGAAGAUUAGAAAAAGAAAGAGGGCUAAAGAGAUAGGCAGCUAGAAGAGUUUGCAUGGUGAAGCAGAAAAAGAAGAGUUUCUGGCCCUUGAGGUCACUACCUGCUCCCGAUGAAGUUAUAUUGAACUUGGAACCUGGUGGAGACUUGUGAACUGACUAUUAAUGACCAUGGAGCGUUAAACCUGGCUGCUAUCAACAAGUUUUGAUCUCAGUUUCUUAUGGAAAAUGUGCGAUGAUUAAAUGUCAGUUUUGAGUGUAUUUUUGAUGGUUUUCUUCUCGUGUUUUCUUUAGAAGGAUGAUCGAUUCUAUUGUUAUUUUGAACAAGAAUAGUUCAUCGCCAGAUUUAAUGAAUUCUUUGCAUGGAGUA